rnacentral:lncRNA from 1 species
UUUACAGUGAAGGGCUCAUGAGGUGCUCCUGACUUUGGAAUGAAAAUUUUAACUAAGAUAUAUAUUGCUAUAAGAACCCCCUGAAAUCUCAAUGAAUGUUCUAUUUGUAUUUCCAUAAUGAUCUUGUCUGAACAUUUCCAUCGGGGAGGAUGGCAUCAAGAGGCAUGCUUAGAGAAAGUUUCUAAAACUUAGCAAGAAAACUACUGAUUAAAAAAUUAAGCAAGUUCUUGAAAAUCUGUUUCUCCAAAGAAGAUCUACAAAUGGGAAAUAAGCAAUUGCCCAAGAACACCAGCAAUUGGGGAAGAACCAGUCAAAGUCAUGACAGGAGUCCACUUCACAGCUACUGCAGAGGUUGCUUUUAAAAGAAGAAAGAAAUGACAAAAGUCUACAAGUAACAAAAUUCUGUAUGUUCUUAAACCAAGACAAAAAACAAAUGUGGG